rnacentral:rRNA from 1 species
UACGGAGGGUGCAAGCGUUAUCCGGAUUCACUGGGUUUAAAGGGUGCGUAGGAGGGCAGGUAAGUCAGUGGUGAAAUCCCCGAGCUUAACUUGGGAACUGCCGUUGAUACUAUCUGUCUUGAAUACCGUGGAGGUGAGCGGAAUAUGUCAUGUAGCGGUGAAAUGCUUAGAUAUGACAUAGAACACCAAUUUGCGAAGGCAGCUCGCUACACGAAUAUUGACUCUGAUGCACGAA